AGGACGAACGCUGGCGGCGUGCUUAACACAUGCAAGUCGAGGGGGAGUAGGGGCAACUCUACUCCACCGGCGAACGGGUGCGUAACACGUGAGCGACCUACCCUGGUGUGGGGGAUAGCCGGCCCAACGGCCGGGUAAUACCGCAUGCGCUCGUCUGGCUUCCUGGUCGGACGAGCAAAGCCUUCGGGCGCAUUGGGAGGGGCUCGCGGCCUAUCAGCUAGUUGGCGGGGUAACGGCCCACCAAGGCGGCGACGGGUAGC
rnacentral:rRNA from 1 species